GCUUACGGCCAUACCAGCCUGGGUACGCCCGAUCUCGUCUGAUCUCGGAAGCUAAGCAGUGUCGGGCCUGGUUAGUACUUGGAUGGGAGACCGCCUGGGAAUACCAGGUGCUGUAAGCA
rnacentral:rRNA from 1 species